rnacentral:rRNA from 1 species
AACGAACGCUGGCGGCAUGCCUAACACAUGCAAGUCGAACGAGACCUUCGGGUCUAGUGGCGCACGGGUACGUAACGCGUGGGAACCUGCCCUUAGGUUCGGACUAACUCCCCGAAAGGGGUGCUAAUACCGGAUAAUGUCUUCGGACCAAAGAUUUAUCGCCUUUGGAUGGGCCCGCGUUGGAUUAGCUAGUUGGUAGGGUAAAAGCCUACCAAGGCGAAGAUCCAUAGCUGGGCUGAGAGGAUGAUCAGCCACACUGGGACUGAGACACGGCCCAGACUCCUACGGGAGGCAGCAGUGGGGAAUAUUGGACAAUGGGCGAAAGCCUGAUCCAGCAAUGCCGCGUGAGUGAUGAAGGCCUUAGGGUUGUAAAGCUCUUUUACCCGGGAUGAUAAUGACAGUACCGGGAGAAUAAGCUCCGGCUAACUCCGUG